rnacentral:rRNA from 1 species
AUUGAACGCUGGCGGCGUGCCUUACACAUGCAAGUCGAACGGUAACGGGCCUUCGGGUGCCGACGAGUGGCGAACGGGUGAGUAAUGUAUCGGAACGUACCUUUCAGUGGGGGAUAACGUAGCGAAAGUUACGCUAAUACCGCAUAUUCUGUGAGCAGGAAAGCAGGGGAUCGCAAGACCUUGCGCUGAUUGAGCGGCCGAUAUCAGAUUAGCUAGUUGGUGAGGUAAAGGCUCACCAAGGCGACGAUCUGUAGCGGGUCUGAGAGGGUGAUCAGCCACACUGGAACUGAGGCACGGUCCAGAUUCCUACGGGAGGCAGCAGUGGGGAAUUUUGGACAUUGGGGGCAACCCUGAUCCAGCCAUGCCGCGUGAGGGAAGAAGGCCUUCGGGUUGUAAAGCUCUUUCGGCCGGGAAGAAAUCGUAUCAGCUAAUACCUGGUGCGGAUGACGGUACCGGCAUAAGAAGCACCGGCUAACUACGUGCCAGCCGCCGCAGUAAAAC